rnacentral:rRNA from 1 species
AUACGGAAGGUCCGGGCGUUAUCCGGAUUUAUUGGGUUUAAAGGGAGCGCGGGCGGAGAUGCAAGCGUGACGUCAAAUUUCGGGGCUCAACCCCGUCUCGCGUCGCGAACUGCGUCCCUUGGUUGCGGGAAGGGGAGGCGGAACUCGUGGUGUAGCGGUGAAAUGCAUAGAUAUCACGAAGAACUCCGAUCGCGAAGGCAGCCUUCCGGCCCGUCAACGACGCUCAUGCUCGAAGGUGCGGGUAUCGAACAGGAUUAGAUACCCUGGUAGUCCGCACAGUAAACGAUGGAUACUCGCUGUCGGCGAUAUACGGUCGGAGGCCAAGCGAAAGCGUUAAGUAUCCCACCUGGGGAGUACGCCGGCAACGGUGAAACUCAAAUGAAUUGACGGGG